GCGAGAGGUACAGAGAUGCCACAGACGUACAUCAAACGUGUGUGUUGACCGCUGAUCGUAUCGGGGUAUAAGUGCCUUUCAUCGUGGUGAAUGCAGAGUUUGCCAUUCUGUGUUAAGGACUUUGAAACAUCCGAAGGACCAGGAGGCUAUCCUUGGACUUUUUUUCCCCCCUUGCUACGUGACGGAGCAUAGAAGUAUCCAGGAGUCGCCAUCUUGCUUGGAUUUUGUGUCGGAGACCGAAGCCGUUGCCGGACGCCCUCACGAAUGAUUCCCUAAAGGUUACCAGCGACUAACAUUAACCAGGUUGCUGACUGACUGACUGCUCGAGGUUCACGUGUUUUGUCCUGUCACCCUCCCCUCCCCAGAUGACUGCCCCUCCCUGAGCCUGGU